AAAUUGAAGAGUUUGAUCAUGGCUCAGAUUGAACGCUGGCGGCAGGCCUAACACAUGCAAGUCGAACGGUAACAGGAAGAAGCUUGCUUCUUUGCUGACGAGUGGCGGACGGGUGAGUAAUGUCUGGGAAACUGCCCGAUGGAGGGGGAUAACUACUGGAAACGGUAGCUAAUACCGCAUAACGUCGCAAGACCAAAGAGGGGGACCUUCGGGCCUCUUGCCAUCGGAUGUGCCCAGAUGGGAUUAGCUUGUUGGUGAGGUAACGGCUCACCAAGGCGACGAUCCCUAGCUGGUCUGAGAGGAUGACCAGCCACACUGGAACUGAGACACGGUCCAGACUCCUACGGGAGGCAGCAGUGGGGAAUAUUGCACAAUGGGCGCAAGCCUGAUGCAGCCAUGCCGCGUGUAUGAAGAAGGCCUUCGGGUUGUAAAGUACUUUCAGCGGGGAGGAAGGGAGUAAAGUUAAUACCUUUGCUCAUUGACGUUACCCGCAGAAGAAGCACCGGCUAACUCCGUGCCAGCAGCCGCGGUAAUACGGAGGGUGCAAGCGUUAAUCGGAAUUACUGGGCGUAAAGCGCACGCAGGCGGUUGAUUAAGUCAGAUGUGAAAUCCCCGGGCUCAACCUGGGAACUGCAUCUGAUACUGGUCAGCUUGAGUCUCGUAGAGGGGGGUAGAAUUCCAGGUGUAGCGGUGAAAUGCGUAGAGAUCUGGAGGAAUACCGGUGGCGAAGGCGGCCCCCUGGACGAAGACUGACGCUCAGGUGCGAAAGCGUGGGGAGCAAACAGGAUUAGAUACCCUGGUAGUCCACGCCGUAAACGAUGUCGACUUGGAGGUUGUGCCCUUGAGGCGUGGCUUCCGGAGCUAACGCGUUAAGUCGACCGCCUGGGGAGUACGGCCGCAAGGUUAAAACUCAAAUGAAUUGACGGGGGCCCGCACAAGCGGUGGAGCAUGUGGUUUAAUUCGAUGCAACGCGAAGAACCUUACCUGGUCUUGACAUCCACGGAAGUUUUCAGAGAUGAGAAUGUGCCUUCGGGAACCGUGAGACAGGUGCUGCAUGGCUGUCGUCAGCUCGUGUUGUGAAAUGUUGGGUUAAGUCCCGCAACGAGCGCAAC
rnacentral:rRNA from 2 species